AGGAGAACGCAAAGCAUCGAAACCAGUACA
rnacentral:piRNA from 1 species